rnacentral:rRNA from 1 species
GGAUUCCCCUAGUAACUGCGAGUGAAGCGGGAAAAGCUCAAAUUUAAAAUCUGGCGGUCUCCGGCCGUCCGAGUUGUAAUCUAGAGAAGUGUUAUCCGCGCUGGACCGUGUACAAGUCUCCUGGAAUGGAGCAUCAUAGAGGGUGAGAAUCCCGUCUUUGACACAGACUANCCAGGGCUUUGUGAUGCGCUCUCAAAGAGUCGAGUUGUUUGGGAAUGCAGCUCAAAAUGGGUGGUAAAUUCCAUCUAAAGCUAAAUAUUGGCGAGAGACCGAUAGCGAACAAGUACCGUGAGGGAAAGAUGAAAAGAACUUUGGAAAGAGAGUUAAACAGUACGUGAAAUUGCUGAAAGGGAAACGCUUGAAGUCAGUCGCGUUGGCCGGGGAUCAACCUUGCUUUUGCUGGGCGUACUUUCCGGUUGACGGGUCAGCAUCAAUUUUGACCGUUGGAUAAAGUUCAGGGGAAUGUGGCAUCUUCGGAUGUGUUAUAGCCCUUGGUCGCAUACAACGGUUGGGAUUGAGGAACUCAGCACGCCGCAAGGCCGGGUACUUGUACCACGUUCGUGCUUAGGAUGCUGGCAUAAUGGCUUUAAUCGACCCGUCUUGAAACACGGACCAAGGAGUCUAACAUGCCUGCGAGUGUUUNGGGUGGAAAACUCGGACGCGUAAUGNAAAGUGAAAGUUGAGAUCCCUGUCGUGGGGAGCAUCGACGCCCGGACCAGACCUUUUGUGACGGAUCCGCGGUAGAGCAUGUAUGUUGGGACCCGAAAGAUGGUGAACUAUGCCUGAAUAGGGUGAAGCCAGAGGAAACUCUGGUGGAGGCUCGUAGCGAUUCUGACGUGCAAAUCGAUCGUCAAAUUUGGGUAUAGGGGCGAAAGAC